rnacentral:rRNA from 1 species
UACGUAGGGGGCAAGCGUUGUCCGGAAUCAUUGGGCGUAAAGCGCGUGUAGGCGGCCCGGUAAGUCCGCUGUGAAAGUCACAGGCUCAACCUGUGAAUGCCGCUGGAAACUGUCUGGCUAGAGUCCGGGAGGGGCGAGUGGAAUUCCUGGUGUAGCGGUGAAAUGCGCAGAUAUCAGGAGGAACACCAAUGGCGAAGGCAGCUCGCUGGAACGGUACUGACGCUGAGGCGCGAAAGCGUGGGGAGCGAACAGG